rnacentral:rRNA from 1 species
GACGAACGCUGGCGGCGUGCUUAACACAUGCGAGUCGAACGAUGACCAGGAGCUUGCUCCUGUGAUUAGUGGCGAACGGGUGAGUAACACGUGAGUAACCUGCCCCUGACUCUGGGAUAAGCGUUGGAAACGACGUCUAAUACUGGAUAUGAUCACUGGCCGCAUGGUCUGGUGGUGGAAAGAUUUUUUGGUUGGGGAUGGACUCGCGGCCUAUCAGCUUGUUGGUGAGGUAAUGGCUCACCAAGGCGACGACGGGUAGCCGGCCUGAGAGGGUGACCGGCCACACUGGGACUGAGACGCGGCCCAGACUCCUACGGGAGGCAGCAGUGGGGAAUAUUGCACAAUGGGCGCAAGCCUGAUGCAGCAACGCCGCGUGAGGGAUGACGGCCUUCGGGUUGUAAACCUCUUUUAGUAGGGAAGAAGCGAAAGUGACGGUACCUGCAGAAAAAGCACCGGCUAACUACGUGCCAGCCGCCGCAGUAA